UCACUUCCCUGGGACUACCCUGAUCAAAUAGGGUUUUUCCCCAGGAAGAGAAGCGGUCAUUGCACUUCGGCCGUGCUGACGCCUUUACUAUUCCAAGCUGGGGAAGCUGGGGAAGAUGGGGCGGAUGGGGCAUGCAAUCUUGGUAGUGGGGGACUGUUGUUCCGUGCUAUCCCCCC
rnacentral:snRNA from 1 species